CUGCCGCAGCCACUACCACAUCCGCCGCCGCCGGUCUUCACCAUGCUGCCACCACAUCCACCGCCGCAGCCACUACCACAUCCGCUGCCACAUCCACUGCCGCCGGUCUUCAUCAUGUUGCCACCACAUCCACUGCCGCAGCCACUGCCGCAGCCGCUGCCACUUUGCUCUUUGAGCAACAAUGUGGUUGGUUUUAGUACCUCAUCCGUCUCGUUUGACAGUUUCGGGUUUAGAGUGAAGCUUUCGUAUUCUUUGGUGUCUAGUAUGUUGGAGAGUAUAAAGGCUGAUACAAUCCCAGGCAACACCAGCCAUGCUUCAUUCACCUGGUAAUUUGUUUUAAAGUUAAAAAAAAACACAAAAGGC
rnacentral:lncRNA from 1 species